CAAAAGGAUGCACCUGGCUUGGGCGUUACCCUUGAAUGUAGGUAAUCACCCAAAUCACAACAGUCUUUAAAACUAAUGAAUAGGGGCCAUCAGCAAGAGAAGAAAGCCCUACUAGAAAAACAUGGCUCCUAGUAAAGAAUGGCUCUAUUAAGAACCAGGAACUCACAAGUUCUUCUAUGGGGAUAUGAAAUUGAAAUUUAUUUCCCAUUCCAUUUUCUGUUUUAAUGGGGUUUUUAAAAAUAUCUUUGGCUACUGAGACUAUCUUUAAAGGGCCAAAUUGUGAUGAAUUUGCAUAUCAGAUAUGCUCAAAUUGAAGGCAAUCUUUGAUACUGUCAAAUCUAACUCUUUUAUUUGGGGGGAGGUAACUGCAGCCCAGAAAAAGUAUUCUUUUUCUAGCUGGAGAUCUCAGAGCUUUUAGCUGUCCUCUGAUACCAGCCACCAGACUCACCUCCUCCUGGCAGCCUACCAGAAUCUCAGAAGCGGCAGCCUCAUCAAAAAACACGCAAGCCUCAGGAUAUACCACCAUGAAGCAAUUUAGAGAAACUCUGAAUGCAGGGCAUGACGGUCUUGAUGAAGCGUUUGAACAUCUCCGUGUCCCACAGGAAGAAAGAACAAUUUCCAGGCUGUGCUGGGACAGAGGAUGGGGAGCGUCUGACCAUUUUUCUGAAGGAAACAAUUCUGUUGAUUGGAACAGGAUUUUGCAAAUGACUACUUCGUUUUUCAGAGGUUGCAGCUUUUAAAAAUCUCUUAACAUCAGUUUUACAUUUAUCCUUGUUGUGGCUGCUUUUUUUAAGUGGAACUAAUAAUCAAGCCUUUUUAGGGCAAGUUUAUUGUUGUGGGUGCAAGUGUCCUGCAUCCAACCCCACACAGCUACCUUCCCACUAUUAGGUGGGAAGAAAAGCUUUCGGGUCCUUUCAUUAUUCCUCCUUUGUCCUAAAGCCAGUGGUGUGUUUUUGAUUUUCAGAGAGAAAGGAGAGUGUGUUUAUGGUUUUGUCUUUAUUUUUAGACCCUUCAAUUCUUCCUCUCACAGUGUAUAUUGUUAUAGCGAUCUCAAGUUCUAAUUUAUUUGUUGUUAAAAUGCUCAUUAUGCAUUUGCCUUAUUUUGAUUGAAAUUAAAUAAGUACAAAGUUAA